rnacentral:rRNA from 1 species
CCUACGGGUGGCAGCAGUAGGGAAUAUUUCUCAAUGGGGGAAACCCUGAAGCAGCAACGCCGCGUGGAGGAUGAAGGUUCUUGGAUUGUAAACUCCUUUUGUUAGAGAAGAUAAUGACGGUAUCUAACGAAUAAGCACCGGCUAACUCCGUGCCAGCAGCCGCGGUAAUACGGAGGGUGCAAGCGUUACCCGGAAUCACUGGGCGUAAAGAGCGCGUAGGCGGGAUAGCAAGUCAGAUGUGAAAUCCUAUGGCUUAACCAUAGGACUGCAUUUGAAACUGUUAUUCUAGAGUAUGGGAGAGGUAGGUGGAAUUCUUGGUGUAGGGGUAAAAUGCGUAGAGAUCAAGAGGAAUACUCAUUGCGAAGGCGACCUGCUAGAACAUAACUGACGCUGAUGCGCGAAGGCGUGGGGAGCGAACGGGAUUAGAUACCCCUGUAGUC